GAUGAACGCUGGCGGCGUGCCUAAUACAUGCAAGUCGAGCGAACAGACGAGGAGCUUGCUCCUCUGACGUUAGCGGCGGACGGGUGAGUAACACGUGGAUAACCUACCUAUAAGACUGGGAUAACUUCGGGAAACCGGAGCUAAUACCGGAUAAUAUAUUGAACCGCAUGGUUCAAUAGUGAAAGACGGUUUUGCUGUCACUUAUAGAUGGAUCCGCGCCGCAUUAGCUAGUUGGUAAGGUAACGGCUUACCAAGGCAACGAUGCGUAGCCGACCUGAGAGGGUGAUCGGCAACACUGGAACUGAGACACGGUCCAGACUCCUACGGGAGGCAGCAGUAGGGAAUCUUCCGCAAUGGGCGAAAGCUUGACGGAGCAACGCCGCGUGAGUGAUGAAGGUCUUCGGAUCGUAAAACUCUGUUAUUAGGGAAGAACAAAUGUGUAAGUAACUAUGCACGUCUUGACGGUACCUAAUCAGAAAGCCACGGCUAACUACGUG
rnacentral:rRNA from 1 species